rnacentral:rRNA from 1 species
GAUGAACGCUGGCGGCGUGCCUAAUACAUGCAAGUCGAGCGAAUGAUGAGGAGCUUGCUCCUCUGAUUUAGCGGCGGACGGGUGAGUAACACGUGGGUAAUCUGCCUGUAAGACGGGGAUAACUCCGGGAAACCGGGACUAAUACCGGAUAAUAAGAAGAAACGCAUGUUUCUUUUUUGAAAGUCGGUUUCGGCUGACACUUACAGAUGAGCCCGCGGCGCAUUAGCUAGUUGGUGAGGUAACGGCUCACCAAGGCGACGAUGCGUAGCCGACCUGAGAGGGUGAUCGGCCACACUGGGACUGAGACACGGCCCAGACUCCUACGGGAGGCAGCAGUAGGGAAUCUUCGGCAAUGGGCGAAAGCCUGACCGAGCAACGCCGCGUGAGCGAUGAAGGCCUUCGGGUCGUAAAGCUCUGUUGUUAGAGAAGAACAAGUACGAGAGUAACUGCUCGUACCUUGACGGUACCUAACCAGAAAGCCACGGCUAACUACGUGCCAGCAGCCGCCGUAAGAC